rnacentral:rRNA from 1 species
GCGGUAACACCGGCAGCCCGAGUGGUGAUCACUAUUAUUGGGUCUAAAGGGUCCGUAGCCGGUUUAAUCAGUCUUCUGGGAAAUCUAAUCGCUUAACUAUUAGGCUUCCAGGGGAUACUGUUAGACUUGGGACCGGGAGAGGUAAGAGGUACUGCAGGGGUAGGAGUGAAAUCUUGUAAUCCCUGUGAGACCACCAGUGGCGAAGGCGUCUUACCAGAACGGGUCCGACGGUGAGGGACGAAAGCUGGGGGCACGAACCGGAUUAGAUACCCGGGUAGUCCCAGCUGUAAACGAUGCUCGUUAGGUGUCAGGAACGGUGCGACUGUUUCUGGUGCCGAAGGGAAGCCGUGAAACGAGCCACCUGGGAAGUACGGCCGCAAGGCUGAAACUUAAAGGAAUUGGCGGGGGAGCACUACAACGGGUGGAGCCUGCGGUUUAAUUGGACUCAACGCCGGAAAACUCACCGGGGGCGACAGCAAUAUGUAGGUCAGGUUAAAGGUCUUACCUGAAUCGCUGAGAGGAGGUGCAUGGCCGUCGUCAGUUCGUACUGUGAAGCAUCCUGUUAAGUCAGGCAACGAGCAAGACCCGUGCCCACUGUUACCAGCAUAUCCUUUAUGGAUGAUGGGGACUCUGUGGGGACCGCUGCUGCUAAAGCAGAGGAAGGUGCGGGCUACGGUAGGUCAGUAUGCCCCGAAUCUCCCGGGCUACACGCGGGCUACAAUGGUUGGGACAAUGGGUAUCUACUCCGAAAGGAGUUGGCAAUCUCUUAAACCCAAUCGUAGUUCGAAUUGAGGGCUGUAACUCGCCCUCAUGAAGCUGGAAUCCGUAGUAAUCGCGUUUCAACAUAGCGCGGUG